GUGAACGUUACAAACUGUUGCCUCGGCGGGAUCUCUGCCCCGGGUGCGUCGCAGCCCCGGACCAAGGCGCCCGCCGGAGGACCAACCAAAACUCUUAUUGUAUACCCCCUCGCGGGUUUUUUACUAUCUGAGCCAUCUCGGCGCCCCUCGUGGGCGUUUCGAAAAUGAAUCAAAACUUUCAACAACGGAUCUCUUGGUUCUGGCAUCGAUGAAGAACGCAGCGAAAUGCGAUAAGUAAUGUGAAUUGCAGAAUUCAGUGAAUCAUCGAAUCUUUGAACGCACAUUGCGCCCGCCAGUAUUCUGGCGGGCAUGCCUGUCCGAGCGUCAUUUCAACCCUCGAACCCCUCCGGGGGGUCGGCGUUGGGGAUCGGCCCUUUACGGGGCCGGCCCCGAAAUACAGUGGCGGUCUCGCCGCAGCCUCUCCUGCGCAGUAGUUUGCACACUCGCAUCGGGAGCGCGGCGCGUCCACAGCCGUUAAACACCCCAAACUUCUGAAAUGUUGACCUCGGAUCAGGUAGGAAUACCCGCUGAACUUAAGCAUAUCAAUAAGCG
rnacentral:rRNA from 1 species